AGCUCCAGCAGCGUAUAUUAAAGUUGUUGCAGUUAAAAAGCUCGUAGUUGGAUCUCGGGCCGCCGGCGGCGGUGCGGAUCUACGUCCGUCGACUGCCGUCGGCGCCUAACCGGCGGGACGCAGCGGGUGCCCUUAGCUGGGUCGCCCGCGGCACCCGCCCGAUUUACUUUGGAAAAAUUAGAGUGUUCAAAGCAGGCGCCAGUGCCUGAAUAACGUUGCAUGGAAUAAUGGAAUAGGACCACGGAUCCUAUUUUGUUGGUUGACGGAGAACGUGGUAAUGAUUAACAGGGACUGCCGGGGGCAUUCGUACUGCGGCGCGAGAGGUGAAAUUCUAAGACCGUCGCAAGACGAACUACUGCGAAAGCAUUUGCCAAGAAUGUUUUCA
rnacentral:rRNA from 1 species